rnacentral:rRNA from 1 species
AGACUUGUAUGAAUGGCAUAACGAGGGUUUGACUGUCUCUUAUUCUCAAUCAGUGAAAUUGACCUCCCCGUGCAGAGGCGGGGAUUUAUAUACAAGACGAGAAGACCCUGUGGAGCUUAAGACUAAUAAAUUAAUUCAACUUAUUACUAAAUCCAAGGAAACAAUAUAACGAAACAUAAUUUAUAGUCUUUGGUUGGGGUGACCUCGGAGCACAAAAUAACCUCCGAAUGACAUAACUAAGAUUAACAAAUCUAAGUGUAAUAAUACCAGUAAUUGACCCAUAUUUUGAUCAACGGACCAAGUUACCCCAGGGAUAACAGCGCAAUCCUAUUUAAGAGCCCAUAUCGACAAUUAGGGUUUACGACCUCGAUGUUGGAUCAGGACAUCCAAAUGGUGCAACCGCUAUUAAUGGUUCGUUUGUUCAACGAUUAAAGUCCUACGUGAUCUGAGUUCAGACCGGAGAAAUCCAGGUCGGUUUCUAUCUGUAUAUUUAUUUCUCCCAGUACGAAAGGACAAGAGAAAUAAGGCCAACAUUAACAGAUGAGCCUUAGAAUUAAUAUAUGAAAUUAUCUUAAUAUCCUUAUUCAAUA